CAAGUACCCUCUCCGUCCCUAAAUUCUUGUCUUAAAUUUGUCUAGAUAUGGAUGUAUCUAACACUAAAACGUAACUAGAUAUAUCCGUAUUUAGACAAAUCUAAGACAAGAAUUUUGGGACGGAGGGAGUACAAG
rfam:Triticum urartu cultivar G1812 contig1011363, whole genome shotgun sequence.